GAUCAUGGCUCAGGAUGAACGCUAGCGACAGGCUUUACACAUGCAAGUCGAGGGGCAGCAUCAUCAAAGCUUGCUUUGAUGGAUGGCGACCGGCGCACGGGUGAGUAACACGUAUCCAACCUGCCGACAACACUGGGAUAGCCUUUCGAAAGAAAGAUUAAUACCGGAUGGCAUAGUUUUCCCGCAUGGGAUAAUUAUUAAAGAAUUUCGGUUGUCGAUGGGGAUGCGUUCCAUUAGG
rnacentral:rRNA from 1 species